rnacentral:rRNA from 1 species
CCUACGGGUGGCAGCAGUGGGGAAUAUUGCACAAUGGGGGAAACCCUGAUGCAGCGAAGCAGCGUGAGCGAUGAAGUAUUUCGGGAUGGAAAACUCUAUCAGCAGGGAAGAAAAUGACGGUACGUGAGUAAGAAGCCACGGCUAACUCCGUGCCAGCAGCAGCGGUAAUAAGUAAGGGGCAAGCGUUAUCCGGAUUUACUGGGUGUAAAGGGAGCGUAGAGGGCUUGGCAAGCCAGAUGUGAAAGGCUGGGGCUAAACCCCAGGAUUGCAUUUGGAACUGUCAUGCUAGAGUGUCGGAGAGGCAGGCGGAAUUCCUAGUGUAGCGGUGAAAUGCGUAGAUAUCAGGAGGAACACCAGUGGCGAAGGCGGCCUGCUGGACGACGACUGACGUUGAGGCUCGAAAGCGUGGGGAGCAAACAGGAUUAGAUACCCUUGUAGUC